AUUGAACGCUGGCGGCAUGCCUUACACAUGCAAGUCGAACGGCAGCACGGGUGCUUGCACCUGGUGGCGAGUGGCGAACGGGUGAGUAAUACAUCGGAACAUGUCCUGUAGUGGGGGAUAGCCCGGCGAAAGCCGGAUUAAUACCGCAUACGAUCCACGGAGGAAAGCGGGGGACCUUCGGGCCUUGCGCUAUAGGGUUGGCAGAUGGCUGAUUAGCUCGUUGGUGGGGUAAAGGCCUACCAAGGCGGCGAUCAGUAGCUGGUCUGAGAGGACGACCAGCCACACGGGGAGGGGAGCACGGCCCAUACGCCUGCGGGAGGCAGCAGUGGGGAAUUGUGGACAAUAGGCGAAAGCCUGAUCCAGCAAUGCCGCGUGUGUGGAGAAGGCCUUCGGGUUGUAAAGCACGUUUGUCCGGAAAGAAAUCCUUGGCUCUAUUACAGUCGGGGGAUGACGGUACCGGAAGAAUAAGCACCGGCUAACUACGUG
rnacentral:rRNA from 1 species